AGUAGUUCCCUAGGAAAAAAUCACAACUGAAUCAACUGACUAAAAGGAUGACCCUGAGGUCUCUAAAAACGCUGCCCUGUUGUGUUUAUCCUCUGUAAUGUCUGAAACUUUUCUUCUCCAAUUUCCUUUCCAAUUCCAUGAGCUACUUUGCAUUUCUAACUGAACAGAUACAACUUCUUGUCAAGUGAUGUACAGUGAUUAUUCUAUAGCAGACUUUCACUUUGCCUUUCAGAAGUAUUACAAGCCACUGCUCUGAAGCAAUAACAACAGAUGGCAUAGCACUGCUUUUGUUAUUUAAUGCCAUGGGAAAACAAACAAACCAUUAAUACACUUAUUUCUCCAUAGAAUCUUGAAACUCGAAUAAAAUACUUUUUCUGCACUAAUGUCAGGUUUACAGAAUCUCCUGAAGAACAAUGCAGAGUUGCUCUCUAAGGGCAACUCUUCUGCGCAACAACUGCACUCAAAGUAUUUCUAACCUUAUUCAAUCAAAACCAAAAUCUUUCUACUGAACUGCGAGACCAGCAUAAAUUAAGAGUAAACUCACCUGUUCCAUUAAAAAUGUUACUUGAUAAGGAGUUAUUCAUUCCAAAUGCCUGAUUUCUGUUCAUCCCAAAUCCAGACAUACUGUGAAAAAAAUCCAAGAAGUCAGAGAAAAGAGAAUAGAGACUUCCAUAAUUUCCAGUUGAAGGUACUAAGGAGAAAAGCCAAAGGUACUUAAAUUAUGUCAUCUUAAGCAAUCCACUUUAGCCUAAACUCUAUUUUUUAUUACUUUCCUUUAUACCUUUGAAAAUUCUGAACAGCAACAAGCAUUGCUGAACGAAGACAACUGGAAUGACUUUAAAAUAACCUGUUUUUUUGUGUUGUUUUUUUUUUUUUUUAACAGUCACAACUCCUUUGACGUUGGUCAGCCAACAACUUAUGAUAAAUGUGUAUUUUACUCAGUAAUUUCAUACAUAAAAAUGAAAUAUCAGUAAAGACAAUAGCAAAAAGUCAGUCUAGAGAGCAUUCAUUUGAGGGUGGAAGUUGAAUCAUUGAUGGGAUCAAGUUUGUCAUGACUCGCUUAAAAGCUGGAAAGUAAUUGUGUGCAACCAUCACACCGUAUGGUCUCUGCCACACAAGGACAGCAGGUAAUUUAAACUAUCACACAGACAAGUAAGAAUAUUUGAAGACAUCUAAGAAUUAGAUAGGACUGCUGUGGUCUGACAAACACUUGAAUGAUCUGUUCCAUUCUCUGCAAACUGAAGAUGUUAAGCAGUUACAAAGUAGGCCAGAGCUGAGUGAAAUUCUGUUAUUUCUGCCCUCUGGGAAACCACAACAUGCAUUUUCCCCUGUAAGAGGACAGAAGUUGAUACUUUAGAAGUUUCAGGGCAUAGAAGUGUUCAAGUUUUCCUACUAGAAUUGUUACUUAUAUGAGUUUUUCACAUUUUUACAAUUAAUUUCAAGCCCUAAAUCUUUGUUUUUGACCGAGACAUCAAGAAAAGGAAACAGCCAAGAAUGGUCCCAUUCUGCUUUGCUUCAGCAAGAUGGUGCAUAUGAAAGAUAGCCAAAUCCUUGACACUUCAUGAACUAGGAGAAACAUUUCUGGUAUCCUCUGUGAAUCCUGGACUUGGUGAGAACACCAACCAGAGAUAAUUUGAUCUUGAGGGAAUAUAACCUUGCUUGGUCUCAGACAAGCUUCUCACAUAAGAACACGGAGAGCUGUGGUUUUGUUGACGAGGACGUGGAAAUCUACACAUUUAAAAGACAAAAGGAAGAAAAAUUAUGACGAAUCAGCACUUUCCAAUGAUAGAUCAUCCCUUCAGCAGAGCUGAAUAUGCCAGCGUACGACACGAUGAAAUACUAAGAACGCACUGAAUGGACACAGCAUACGCUCCAGUUAUUGCUAUGGACGAGGUCUGAAGAAACCUCCCAGCUGUUCAGCUCUCACUCUUGCAGAACACACACUUGCCCCGGUGUUCUGCCCUACCAUUCACAGCAAGUCUGCAACUAGGGACUUGGAUAACACUCCAGUUUAUCUCUAUCAAUGGAGAUGAAGAAGUAGCAUGACUCACUACAACGAGCCUCCUAAGGCUUCAUUAAUUGCUGAUUAUAUCAAGGUGCUCGCUGUAAAUAUUUUGGCAAUUUGCUGUAUCAGAAUAAUUUCAAUGAGCAUAAAUAUAUCUUAUAAAUAAUAUUUCACACCAAUUAACAAUUAGGUGGAAUUGAAAAAAUAAGAUGGUAAAGAAAAAAACCAUACUCUUCCAGAGAUGGUAGACGGAAAUAAGCAAUUACCGUAUUCAGGUCGAUUUUGUGCAAGCAUUUGUUCAAAUGCAGUCAGUUUUUCACUAACAGUGUUUCUCCUACUUGUUGCUUUUCUUUAAUUAGAAUUUUUAAUGAGUAUUUCUACUACUGUAUUCCUGUGGCUGGCAAGUGAGGGCAGUUUAAAUAUUUGCCAUUACAAGGAAAUCCCAAAUGAACAACAAAAACCAAACCAAAACCAUCCAAAGAAACCUUCUCUUAUGCUUCCCUUUUCUAUGCUUUUCAUUUAAACUGAGACAAGAGAUCUGUCAAUUGAUUAAGAGGUUAACUUUUAAUGCCUACAGAUUAAGUUUAACUUAACUCUUUAAAAUGACAGCUUGCUAAAUGAUUGACAGCUAUCAGUUUAAAAGUACCAGGACAGCAGCUCUGUCUCUCCCAGAAUGUUUUAAUCAUAAGAAUUUACACGAAUACAGCAGUUUCUCCACAUUUGGAAGAAAAUGAACCCUGAAAAUAUUUACUUCUGAAUUUUUGGCCACACAAGUCUCCAUGUUCAAGAGAUUGUGUCCUACACAUGACAAACAACUGGACUGAACAACAAAGCUGAUGAAAAGAAAGUUACCCCUAAAAAUAAUCAGCUACUUCAGCAUCUUUAUGCAGCUGAGCCUGAAAGGUUCAGCAGUGUCAGAUUAGGGAUCCAAAAAUCCAAACCUGACUCUCGGACUGGCCAGAAAGUC